AUACGGAGGGUGCAAGCGUUAUUCGGAAUCACUGGGCGUAAAGGACGCGUAGGCGGGUUGGCAAGUCAGAUGUGAAAUCCUACAGCUUAACUGUAGAACUGCAUUUGAAACUGCUAACCUAGAGUAUGGGAGGGGGAGAUGGAAUUAGUGGUGUAGGGGUAAAAUCCGUAGAUAUCACUAGGAAUACCGAAAGCGAAGGCGAUCUCCUGGAACAUAACGGACGCUAAGGCGUGAAAGCGUGGGGAGCAAACAGGAUUAGAAACCCUAGUAGUCC
rnacentral:rRNA from 1 species